AGUGAACGCUGGCGGUAGGCCUAACACAUGCAAGUCGAACGGCAGCACCGUAAGAGCUUGCUCUUACGGGUGGCGAGUGGCGGACGGGUGAGGAAUACAUCGGAAUCUACUUUUUCGUGGGGGAUAACGUAGUGAAACUUACGCUAAUACCGCAUACGACCUACGGGUGAAAGCAGGGGAUCUUCGGACCUUGCGCGAUUGAAUGAGCCGAUGUCGGAUUAGCUAGUUGGCGGGGUAAAGGCCCACCAAGGCGACGAUCCGUAGCUGGUCUGAGAGGAUGAUCAGCCACACUGGAACUGAGACACGGUCCAGACUCCUACGGGAGGAAGCAGUGGGGAAUAUUGGACAAGGGGCGAAAGCCUGAUCCAGCCAUACCGCGUGGGUGAAGAAGGCCUUCGGGUUGUAAAGCCCUUUUGUUGGGAAAGAAAAGCAGCAGGUUAAUACCCCGCUGUUCUGACGGUACCCAAAGAAUAAGCACCGGCUAACUUCGUG
rnacentral:rRNA from 1 species